rnacentral:rRNA from 1 species
GUGCCAGCAGCCGCGGUAAUACGGAGGGUCCGAGCGUUAUCCGGAAUCAUUGGGUUUAAAGGGUCCGUAGGCGGACUAAUAAGUCAGAGGUGAAAGUUUGCAGCUCAACUGUAAAAUUGCCUUUGAUACUGUUAGUCUUGAGUUAUAGUGAAGUGGUUAGAAUAAGUGGUGUAGCGGUGAAAUGCAUAGAUAUCACUUAGAAUACCGAUUGCGAAGGCAGAUCACUAACUGUAUACUGACGCUGAGGGACGAAAGCAUGGGUAGCGAACGGGAUUAGAUACCCCGGUAGUCCAUGCUGUAAACGAUGGAUACUAGCUGUUGGCUUCGGUCAGUGGCUAAGCGAAAGUGAUAAGUAUCCCACCUGGGGAGUACGUUCGCAAGAAUGAAACUCAAAGGAAUUGACGGGGGCCCGCACAAGCGGUGGAGCAUGUGGUUUAAUUCGAUGAUACGCGAGGAACCUUACCAGGGCUUAAAUGGGAGAUGACAGGGGCAGAGACGCCUUUUUCUUCGGACAUCUUUCAAGGUGCUGCAUGGUUGUCGUCAGCUCGUGCCGUGAGGUGUCAGGUUAAGUCCUAUAACGAGCGCAACCCCUACCGUUAGUUGCCAGCGAUUCAAGUCGGGGACUCUAACGGGACUGCCGGUGCAAACCGCGAGGAAGGUGGGGACGACGUCAAAUCAUCACGGCCCUUACGUCCUGGGCUACACACGUGCUACAAUGGUCGGUACAG